rfam:Flavobacterium spartansii strain MST NODE_1_length_1308521_cov_54.5264, whole genome shotgun sequence.
UAAUUUUGCACCCGUCUUACAAAAGUUGUAUGACAUACAUAAAAAUCAUUAAACAAUAUUGGAAUG